GUCCAUCCUUAAGGUUUAGCCC
rnacentral:siRNA from 1 species